AAUGAACGCUGGCGGCAUGCCUAACACAUGCAAGUCGAACGAAGGCUUCGGCCUCAGUGGCGCACGGGUGCGUAACGCGUGGGAAUCUGCCCUCAGGUUCGGAAUAACAGCGAGAAAUUGCUGCUAAUACCGGAUGAUAUCGCGAGAUCAAAGAUUUAUCGCCUGAGGAUGAGCCCGCGUAGGAUUAGCUAGUUGGUGUGGUAAAGGCGCACCAAGGCGACGAUCCUUAGCUGGUCUGAGAGGAUGAUCAGCCACACUGGGACUGAGACACGGCCCAGACUCCUACGGGAGGCAGCAGUGGGGAAUAUUGGACAAUGGGCGAAAGCCUGAUCCAGCAAUGCCGCGUGGGUGAUGAAGGCCUUAGGGUUGUAAAGCUCUUUUACCCGGGAUGAUAAUGACAGUACCGGGAGAAUAAGCUCCGGCUAACUCCGUGCCAGCCGCCGCAGUAA
rnacentral:rRNA from 1 species